rnacentral:lncRNA from 1 species
UUACAUCAAGAUUGGUGAUUAGCACCAAUAUGCAGGCUAAUUAGCACAAACAUACAUGUCUUACUUUAGUCCACUUUAUACAAAAUUAUACAAAUCAAAUCCGAACUACACUAAACCAACGCUUCUACAUUACUUAGGCAUCAACAUAUAACAAUCCAGACAUGUAGAGUUCCAUAAGUGCAAGGUAAACAUUUUUCCUUUGCAUUUCCACUUCAAAUUCAGUAUAAGUACAUCAUGAGAGAAAUAAAUACCUGGAUUUGAACAAUACAAGAAGAAGGAAAAAAGGUCAGCUGUAACAAACGUAACAGCAGUAACACAACAACGGUUUACUAGUCGCGAAAUACCACAACAAAUAACUGCAACAACACCAGCAAUAGCCCAGUAAUAGCAACAAACAGCAAUGGAACAGUAACAGAUGAGUAGUAAACUCAGGAAACCAGUUAAAUAUUUUCCAGCAAUACCAAACAGUAAUACCAAACUGAAUCAGUGACCCCCCAGAACCAAACAGAAGACAAAGAUUGACUCACAGUACUAUCAACACAAGUCAAAUGAACUCAAAAGAUGCACUGAAGGCUCUUGGAAACUUCAUCCAACUAUAACUCAAUUAAAAGUGAUUCAACUAGACCCCAACGUCACCCAAGAUCAGUCUGGACACACGCUGAUUUACAAUGAAGCAGUAACAGUACUAACACUGGUUUUCAGCAGUAAAAGAAAACCCCACUCCUCAGUUUUUAGACUCUUAAUACUCUCUUUUCACUAAUUUUCAGGAUUUCAAAAACCAGGCCUCAAAAUGUUCUCCUCAAUGUCUAUCUCUAUCUAAUGUCUGGACUCUGUUCCUUUUUUUGGUUUUUUUAACUCUAAACACUUCUUGCCAGUUACCAGCCUGGAAGUAUAUCUAUAUUUUGACUUUUCUAUGUGCUUUUGAAUCUCAGCUCUUAUUGACCGUUCAAGUCCCCUUAAUAUCUCUCCAAAUCUCUAUAUUUAAACCCAAACUCCUUUUCCUUUUCAGCCUUUCAUUUUCUUUUACAGUUGUAAAAGAAAACCUUUUAUCAUUAUCCCCUACUCCUUUUUACUUUCCAGCUUUAUAUAUUCUUCUACUAUGUGAAUACUUUUGGCUUUUUUCAUAAUUAUUCC